UUUAAAAAAUCUGGAUCAAGCUGAAAAAUUGAAAACGACACACUGUUUAAGUGUGUUCGAGUCUCUCAAAUUUUCGCAAUCAGAAGUGAAACAUCUUCGG
rnacentral:sRNA from 1 species